rnacentral:misc_RNA from 1 species
UACGUAGGUGGCAAGCGUUGUCCGGAAUUAUUGGGCGUAAAGCGCGCGCAUGUGGUCCUUUAAGUCUGAUGUGAAAGCCCACGGCUCAACCGUGGAGGGUCAUUGGAAACUGAGGGACUUGAGUGCAGAAGAGGAAAGUGGAAUUCCACGUGUAGCGGUGAAAUGCGUAGAGAUGUGGAGGAACACCAGUGGCGAAGGCGACUCUUUGGUCUAUAACUGACGCUGAGGCGCGAAAGCGUGGGGAGCAAACAGG